rnacentral:rRNA from 1 species
UUGAUCCUGCCGGACCCGACUGCUAUCAGAGUGGGACUAAGCCAUGCGAGUCAACGCAGCAAUGCGUGGCAUACGGCUCAGUAACACGUAGUCAACAUGCCCAGGGGACGUGGAUAACCUCGGGAAACUGAGGAUAAACCGCGAUAGGCCAAGGUUUCUGGAAUGGACACUGGCUGAAACCUAUAUGGCCCCUGGAUUGGACUGCGGCCGAUCAGGCUGUUGGUGAGGUAAUGGCCCACCAAACCUGUAACCGGUACGGGCUCUGAGAGGAGGAGCCCGGAGAUGGGCACUGAGACAAGGGCCCAGGCCCUAUGGGGCGCAGCAGGCGCGAAACCUCUGCAAUAGGCGAAAGCCUGACAGGGUUACUCUGAGUGAUUCCCGCUAAGGGGAUCUUUUGGCACCUCUAAAAAUGGUGCAGAAUAAGGGGUGGGCAAGUCUGGUGUCAGCCGCCGCGGUAAUACCAGCACCCCGAGUGGUCGGGACGAUUAUUGGGCCUAAAGCAUCCGUAGCCGGUCAUGCAAGUCCUCCGUUAAAUCCACCUGCUCAACAGAUGGGCUGCGGAGGAUACUACAAGGCUAGGAGGCGGAAGAGGCAAGCGGUACUCAGUGGGUAGGGGUAAAAUCCUCUGAUCCAUUGAAGACCACCAGUGGCGAAGGCGGCUUGCCAAUACGCGCUCGACGGUGAGGGAUGAAAGCUGGGGGAGCAAACCGGAUUAGAUACC